UGUGUUAGUACAAUAAAUAAAUGCAUGUUGCGUCUUGCAAUCUUCUGGGAAGGAAUUUAAUACCAAGCUAUGUCAUGGAAAGGAAGACAGGAGUUAAGAAAUACAGAGAAAGGGACAAUUCUUCUUCCCUAUCGGGUGGCUCCAGUGAUUGCUAAAUGAGCGUGUUUGCGAGGAGGUGGCUAUCAAUCAAGGUAUACAGUCUGCAUGUCUCAAUUCUAACUUAGCUUCCUGCCCUUCCUCAAAUGUUCUUCUGCCAUCAAGGCAUGGCCAACGCCCAGCCAGACACCUGAGUCAUGUUUGCCUCCUCCCUCUUGCUUUCCUCUGUCCCUGAAUCUGUUUGGUUGCUAAAUCCUCUCAAUUUCCCCUCUGGAAGGCCUCUGCCUUUGCCCUCCCUCUGGGCUGGAUUAGCUAAUAACAUCGAAGCUGCCACUACCCAAGAAGCUCAGACUCCUUUUCCUGGUCUUCCCACCUUUCACAUAGGCUCCUUCUGGCUUCUGGUCACCUUCUCCACUGUCACCCUCCGCGCCGCACGGCGAAGAUCCUGCUCACCCGCCAGGACCUCAGCCCGGAGCGGGUCCCGCCGUCUGCCCCUCGGAAGCCUGGGCGCUCCAGGAUGUGGGCCCCAACGCAGACGGAAGUGCCGGCAGCUCGAGGGGCGGGGCAGGGGGCGGGGCCUGGCCCGGCUGGCCAAUGGAAGCGCUGAGCCCAGAGUCAGAGGUCACAUGUGCAGUGGGCGGGAAUUUUCUCCUGAGAAGACCGGUAGGAGGCGGUUUUCCCUCUGCCUGUACCCUGAGAGGCUGGAGAGACGAGGGAGGGAAGGUGUUUUUAGACUGAGGGGAAGAAAGGAUCGACGUGGGGCUAGAGUAUGGCAGCUCCGAAAUCUCUGGAAAACAGAUUUGUGAGGCGUGGCUGAUGUGACCCUGUGGGGACAAGGCCCCAGAACGGGUGUCCACCUAACCUAAUUAGGCGAGAACAGAGGGUGUGAAGGACACGGAAGAUAGCGGUCAAGAGGUAGCACAGGAGAAAUAAAAUCAUUACAAACAGGUGUUGAAAUUUGUACUGCUUGCAAAGAAAGAAGCUAUGUUUUCAACAUUCAAAUAUUGUGCAAUAGAUUAUUUAUAUGAGAAUGUAAUUAGGAAGAAGUUUUCUAGAGAUGCUUUCUUGCUUCGAAUCCCUUCAUGUUUAUAUCAAGAUGGAGAUUAUCUUACAGGAGUUAUUGAUAGUGCAUUUAGGAGGCCAUGGACAAGAGGUACCAGGAAGGUACACUAGAGCUGGCUGAGAGCAGACUGAUGGUGAAUAAAAGGAGACCUUUAGCCCCCUCCCUUUGGGUUAGUCACACCUAAAAGACACGUGGGAG
rnacentral:lncRNA from 1 species